GUUCAUGUUACCAGACACUGGAAAAAUAGAAAAGAGUACUCAAGACCAUAACCUUCUUUUCUAACCAAGUAAUCAAGACCAGGUUGUUUCCGAUAGGCCCUGAGCUCAAAAAAGACAAAAAUAGCAACAAGCAGGAACAACAAUGAGAAAACUACUUCAACCCACUACACCUAUUCUGGUUCUGAAUACCAAAUUCCUUUCGUGUCUCCUUUACCUUGUCUAGAUCCAUUAGGGACAAAAUU
rnacentral:misc_RNA from 1 species